UGGUGUCCCAAAACUAUAUAAAUGUUUUUU
rnacentral:piRNA from 1 species